CACAGGGUUGCCAUGGCAGCUGGCCCCACAUUCCCCGGGUGGCUCACACCUUGGAGGAAAGGGAGGGGCUGGCCGACUCCCCCCAGCAGAGCUCAACCCAGACCCCUCAAGGGGCAAAGCCAGGAAGGUGGGGUUAGAGAGCACUUCGGGUAUCAGCCAGCAGUUACCUUCAAGGAAACAGGUCAGGCUGGUGAGCAGGCACCCCCUGAUCCCAGACAAGUGGGCUCCUGGAACCCCGCGCCUCCCUCAGAUGCAGUCGUUGCACACCUGGCUGCACAGGGGCUGAGGACGGCCACCUGGCACCCAGCAACCAGCCUGGCCAUCUGCCCUGGCUGCUUCUGCAGCUUCCAAGUAGCGGGUGCCCCAUAGGUCCCAGCUUCCUCUCUCCCAGCUGUGCAAAGAACGAACCCCGAGCUCCCGUCUCUGAGAAUCAGGACUGGCCAUCUUUUCCCCACCCCUGUGCCACGAGGCACCCGAAGACAAGGACAGAUGCUCUCAGGGGCUUGGGACCCUGGUCACCCUCAAGACUGUCACAGCCAUCCUUGCAAAGAAUCUGCCCCAGAAAUCAGAGAGGCAACUGUUUAAAUCCCCAUUUUGCAGAUGAGGAAAAGGAGAACCAGAGAGAUGACAGGCAUCUUAGCGACUAUAAUAGUGACCCUGCUCCUUCCUCACCGCACCCCCCCACACAGAGGCUUCUGGAAAAUGUGAGGAGCUGUGACUGCAGGGGAGGGUGUGCCCUGGGGGCAGCCAUCACAGGUCACCACAGAGGGCUUCCUGGGAUGAACAGGAGGCUCGCCUACUGCCUCAGCUGCCACCCAACUCCCCGCCAGGCCCUCAGAGUCCUGGAUGAGCUCCAAGCCCACAGCCAGGACCAACAUGAGCUGUUUCCUCUCAUGCCCUCUCCAAUUGCCUGUGCUCAAGUUUGCUGGAAAAAUCCACGCCUGCUGCAUGCACAGGAGAUGGGCACUGGGCAGGUGCUCCAGGGGCCAGUCCAGCCCAGAAAGGCUUCCUGGGGCCCAGCCCCAGCCCCAAGAGCAGAGCACAGGUCUGCAUUGAAACCCUGCCUUAUUUUGAGACUCUGCCCCUUGGCCCUCUGUGCCACGGCCACCCCUCUGUCCAGCAAAGGGAGUGAGGAUGCUCCCUUCAGAGCUGGGAGGAGGAAAGACGCACAGAGUGCUCAGAAAGUAUCCACUGCUGCCAUGGUCCACUGAAGUCACCGUUCCCCUCAACCACAGAGUCUCAUCAUCAGCAAAGAAGUAUGACAGAUGUUCGUGGGAGAAUUGAAGACAGGACUGGAGACAACCGGAUGCAGCAAUGGGGCCUCCAGCAGGCGAAAGAAGGCGAUGAGCUAAGAGUUUCCAUGUCACUGUGGCUGAAGGACUCAAGAAGGGCUUCCUACAGGAGGUGGAGAGAAAUUAAAGGUAUCAGGAGACGGUGGAGAGAGCCUGUCAUCACUGACAAAAUGCCCCAAAAAAAUCAACUUAGAGGAGGAAGGAUUUAUUUUGUCCCAUGGUUUCCGUGGUUUUAGUCCAUGGUCACUUGCUCUGUUGUCUCUGUGCCCGUGGUGAUGCUCCCCUCACGGCAGACAGGAAGAGAGAGAGGGUGGGGGAGAAAAGAAGAUAGAGACUGGAGACAAGAUCUUAUCCCCAAGGUCACCCGUCACACACUCCCCUCAGCCAGGGCCGACGGUUUCCAUCACCUCUCGAGGACCCAUCAAUCCACAAACCCAUCCAGGACAAACCCCAGAUGGGUCAGAGCCCUUGUGAUCCUUGUGAUCCGCUCAUUUCCCCAAAGCCUCACUCUGAGACCUGCUGUGCUAGAAACAAGGCCUUCAACACCGAGCCUCCGGAACAUCCCGGAUCCACACCCUAACAGCAGUGACUGACACAAAUGGUGCAGGGGCUGGCACGGAGGCCAGAAGAGGCGUCUCUAGCAGAGGUCCCUGAAGGAUGUGCAGGGAAGACCGAGCAGCAGGUAGAGGAGGAACAGGACAGCAAAGGUAUGGCGGCAUGCAUUGGCCAGGUGCUGGAGAAACUACGAGACCAAAACAGACAGAGGUGGCUGGGAAGAAGGAUGGGGGCAGACCAGGGCUUGAAGGCCGAGCUGAGAGGCUUAGAAUCGGUUCCAUUGGUCACGGAGACCCAUGCAGGUUCCAUGGAACAACUGACAUGUCGGAUUUGAGAUUUAUGAAGACAAUAGCUAAGAAGUGAGGCUGGGGGUACAGCCUACUGGCAGAGUCCUGCAGUGUCCGCUGAGAGGUGACAGCUAUGAACAGACCUGAGACCAUUUAGGAAGUAAUGUUGCUAGAUCAUGGUAAAAUAAAAUUCACCAUUUAGCCAUUUUUUAAGUGUAUGGUUUGGUGGCAGUAAAUGUGCUCCUGUUGUGAUAGAACCCAUCAUCACCUUCUCUCCAGCUCUUCCCCAAUAUCCACAACUGAAACUCCGUAUGUGUGAAACGCUUACUCUCCGCCCCUCCCAGGGGCCUGGCAACCACCAUCCUACACUGUGCCUGUGACUCUAGGGACACUGCAUACCCUAGGGAAGUGAAAUCACACAGUAUGUGUGCCUUUGUGGCUGGCUUAUUUCACGAGGAUGAUGCCCUCAAGGACUGUCCGUGCUGUGGCCGGGACAGGACGCCCUUCCUUCCCUCUCCAGGCGGAAUGACACCCACUUGCAGGUGCACAGUACUGGGCCUCCUCCAUUUACCCAUCCGUGGAGGGCUCCGUCCACCUCUCGGCUGCUGGGUGGGAGUCAUGCUGCUGUGAAGGUGGAGGGGCCUGAGGCCCUGAAGUCACUUUUCCUGCUCGCAGUUAGGAGUAGAAUCGCUGGAUUGUAGGGUAAUUCUGGGUUUAACUGCUUAACCUCUCCAGGUCCUUCCACAACGGCAGCACCAUUUCCCAUCCCUUAGAAGUGUGCAAGGGCCCAAUUCUCCCACAGCCUGCCUCACCAGCACCUGUUAUUAUCUGGAUUCUUUAUGGUCACCACCCUGAUGCAUGUGAGGUGACGAACUGCUGGAUCUUGGGGAUGGUUGUAUGGGAGCAGCUGAGGGGUAGGAGAAUGACAGCCAAAAAGGACAAUGACCCUAGAUUGGUGGCAUGGCCAACUGAGUGGAUGAAGAUCCACGAGAUGAGCUGCAGACAAGAUGUAGGCAAUGGGGAAGAGUCCGGGUGCUCUCGACCUUGAGGGUUCUGAAGGGCGUCCUGGUUGAACAUCGGGGUCUGCAGGCCUGGGACAGUCUGUGCUGCAGGUCAGAAGUCACCAGCAUGUGAUGCAAAGCCACCGCCAAGAACAAGAGUGCUUGGGACAUAUGGGAUGCCAGAAAAAGGGGGCCCGGAAUGGUCCCCGUGUUUUUGGUGUGGGACAAUAAAGGAACACACUCAGGGAGACAGAGAUGAGCCCAAGAGAUAAGAGGAAAGCCAAGACACAAGGUCAAAAGUUGUAGAAGCUAGGAUUGGAUUCUCUUCUACUCAACAGGAACCCCAAACCAGUGGCUUAAUCAAGGUAAGGGUUCUGUUCUUCCCUUUGUAAAGUAAGUGUGGAGGGAGGCUGCCCUUCAGCCUCAGACACCUGGGCUUUCUCUUCUACUCCUUUAUUCUUACUUCCAUCUCCAAGGUAAUUUCAUGGUCACAAGAUUGUUGCCAAGGCUGUAGCCAUCACAGCCGUGCUCCAACAGCAAGGAGGAAAAAGCAGGAGCAGAAGACUUGCCUCUGAGCUGAGAUGGCCCACAAGCUUUGAAAGAGCAGUUCCUGGAAACCCUUUUCCAUCUCUCCUCAGGGUUUUCACCUCACCAGUCACACCCAGGUGCGAAGAAGGUAAGAAAUGUGCUCUUUUAGUAGGACACAUUGCAUGCCUGAACAAUACCCAGAUUCUAUAGGUAAAGAAUCAGGGGAAAUGUCUACGAGGCCACUGGUGAGCUUAAACACAAAGAAAGCUUCCCAGAAGGAAAAACAGCCUCUGGCUUAGCUGAGGUGGGGAAGAUUAACAGUGGGUUGGCAGUGAGGUCCUUGGCAUCAGGCUAUUGGGUGUGGAAGUGGGUAGAUGAGCUCAGUGGUAGAGAGCAUGAAGGGCAGAAAUGGCUGUAUAUGAUGGCACAAGCCCAUAAUUCCAGCUUCUCAGGAGGCUGACGCAGGAGAAUCACAAGUUCAAGGCCAGCUGGGGAUGUAGCUCAGUGCAAAGGCCCUGAAUUCAAUCUCUAGCACCAAAAAAAAAAAAAAAAAAAAAAAAAAAAAA
rnacentral:lncRNA from 1 species